rnacentral:rRNA from 1 species
UGGGGAAUAUUGCACAAUGGGCGAAAGCCUGAUGCAGCAACGCCGCGUGAGUGAUGAAGGUCUUCGGAUUGUAAAGCUCUGUCUUUUGGGACGAUAAUGACGGUACCAAAGGAGGAAGCCACGGCUAACUACGUGCCAGCAGCCGCGGUAAUACGUAGGUGGCGAGCGUUGUCCGGAUUUACUGGGCGUAAAGGGUGCGUAGGCGGAUGUUUAAGUGAGAUGUGAAAUACCCGGGCUUAACUUGGGUGCUGCAUUUCAAACUGGAUA